rnacentral:rRNA from 1 species
CCUACGGGAGGCAGCAGUGAGGAAUAUUGGUCAAUGGGAGAGAUCCUGAACCAGCCAAGCCGCGUGAGGGAAGACGGCCCUAUGGGUUGUAAACCUCUUUUGUCGGAGAACAAAACCCGGGACGUGUCCCGGACUGCGUGUAUCCGAAGAAAAAGCAUCGGUUAGAUCCGUGCCAGCAGCCGCGGUAAGACGGGGGAGGCGAGCGUUAUCCGGAUUGAUUGGGGUUAACGGGUGCGUAGGCGGUCCGUUAAGUCAGCGGUAAAAUUGCGGGGCUCAACCCCGUCGAGCCGUUGAAACUGGCAGACGUGAGUGUGCGAGAAGUACGCGGAAUGCGCGGUGUAGCGGUGAAAUGCAUAGAUAUCGCGCAGAACUCCGAUUGCGAAGGCAGCGUACCGGCGCCAGACUGACGCUGAGGCACGAAAGCGUGGGGAUCGAACAGGAUUAGAUACCCGAGUAGUC